ensembl:lncRNA novel transcript
UUGGCCUUCAGCCCCUGCCUCGGCCAGAGGUUUCAUUUUUAACUGAAUAUUUACCAAAGCUGAAAGCGUGCGAGGGGGGUGGGGUGGAAAUAGCGGCUGCUUCUUUUCCAAGGAUUUAUUUAAUGGGGAUGUGUUCAAGGCAAGACCGAAUUCAGAAGGAUAUCGACGUCGUGAUCCAGAAGUCCAGAGCUGAGGACUGCCUGUUUGCAGAUUAGCAAUAAACUCCUUAAAACCCAAAGGUUUGGGCUUCUGUUCCUUUCACUUGCAGUCAGACAUGGAGUUAGUGGUAGAAGAAACAGAAGGGGUAACCUGCAUGGUGACAGCUACUGAGGGGAUGGAUAGGAAAGCAGGCUGAGUCCCUGGGGCCAGUGGUUACCAAAGCCAAGGAGAGAGCAAGGGGAGCCCAGUGGGCCUGGCCAUGGACUGCUCUGGAAUUCCGAGUGUGAACUUUCAGCCAAGAAGGUAGUGUGAAAAUAUUACUGUGAGGUUUUAAAAGUACACAAAUAACAAUUGUUUUUUGUAAAAA